UACGGAGGAUGCAAGCGUUAUCCGGAUUUAUUGGGUUUAAAGGGUGCGCAGGUUGUUUGAUAAGUCAGUGGUGAAAGUCUGUCGCUUAACGGUAGGAUUGCCAUUGAUACUGUUGGACUUGAAUAUGGAUGAGGUAGGCGGAAUGUGUAGUGUAGCGGUGAAAUGCUUAGAUAUCACGAGGAACUCCGAUUGCGCAGGCAGCUUACUAAACCACUACUGACGCUCAUGCACGAAGGCGUGGGGAGUCAAACAGGAUUA
rnacentral:rRNA from 1 species